AAUAGAUACCCCGGUAGUCCACGCCGUAAACUAUGAUUACUCGAUGUCGGCGAUAUACUGUCGGUGUCCAAGCGAAAGUGAUAAGUAAUCCACCUGGGGAGUACGAUCGCAAGGUUGAAACUCAAAGGAAUUGACGGGGGCCCGCACAAGCGGUGGAGCAUGUGGUUUAAUUCGAUGAUACGCGAGGAACCUUACCUGGGCUUGAAUGCAUUAUGACCGUCCCGGAAACGGGACUUUCUUCGGACAGAAUGCAAGGUGCUGCAUGGUUGUCGUCAGCUCGUGCUGUGAGGUGUCGGGUUAAGUCCCAUAACGAGCGCAACCCCUAUUCUUAGUUGCCAGCGGGUAAUGCCGGGGACUCUAAGAAAACUGCCCGCGUAAGCGGUGAGGAAGGUGGGGAUGACGUCAAAUCAUCACGGGCCCUUACGUCCCAGGGCUACACACGUGCUACAAUGGUCAGUACAAAGGGCAGCUACCUGGUGACAGGAUGCUAAUCUCGAAAAACUGAUCUCAGUUCGGAUCGAAGUCUGCAACUCGUA
rnacentral:rRNA from 1 species